AGAGUUUGAUCCUGGCUCAGGACGAACGCUGGCGGCGCGCCUAACACAUGCAAGUCGAACAAGCGAGAGAGAGCUUGCUUUCUCGAGCGAGUGGCGAACGUGUGAGUAACGCGUGAGGAACCUGCCUCAAAGAGGGGGACAACAGUUGGAAACGACUGCUAAUACCGCAUAAGCCCACGACCCGGCAUCGGGUUGAGGGAAAAGGAGUGAUCCGCUUUGAGAUGGCCUCGCGUCCGAUUAGCUAGUUGGUGAGGUAACGGCCCACCAAGGUGACGAUCGGUAGCCGGACUGAGAGGUUGAACGGCCACAUUGGGACUGAGACACGGCCCAGACUCCUACGGGAGGCAGCAGUGGGGAAUAUUGCACAAUGGGGGAAACCCUGAUGCAGCGACGCCGCGUGGAGGAAGAAGGUCUUCGGAUUGUAAACUCCUGUUGUUGGGGAAGAUAAUGACGGUACCCAACAAGGAAGUGACGGCUAACUACGUGCCAGCAGCCGCGGUAAAACGUAGGUCACAAGCGUUGUCCGGAAUUACUGGGUGUAAAGGGAGCGCAGGCGGGAAGACAAGUUGGAAGUGAAAUCCAUGGGCUCAACCCAUGAACUGCUUUCAAAACUGUUUUUCUUGAGUAGUGCAGAGGUAGGCGGAAUUCCCGGUGUAGCGGUGGAAUGCGUAGAUAUCGGGAGGAACACCAGUGGCGAAGGCGGCCUACUGGGCACCAACUGACGCUGAGGCUCGAAAGUGUGGGUAGCAAACAGGAUUAGAUACCCUGGUAGUCCACACCGUAAACGAUGAUUACUAGGUGUUGGAGGAUUGACCCCUUCAGUGCCGCAGUUAACACAAUAAGUAAUCCACCUGGGGAGUGCGACCGCAAGGUUGAAACUCAAAGGAAUUGACGGGGGCCCGCACAAGCAGUGGAGUAUGUGGUUUAAUUCGACGCGACGCGAAGAACCUUACCAAGUCUUGACAUCCGUUGACCGCUGUAGAAAUACAGUUUUCCUUCGGGACAGCGAGACAGGUGGUGCAUGGUUGUCGUCAGCUCGUGUCGUGAGACGUUGGGUUAAGUCCCGCAACGAGCGCAACCCUUAUGGUCAGUUACUACGCAAGAGGACUCUGGCCAGACUGCCGUUGACAAAACGGAGGAAGGUGGGGAUGACGUCAAAUCAUCAUGCCCCUUAUGAUCUGGGCGACACACGUGCUACAAUGGCGGUCACAAAGUGAGGCGAACCCGCGAGGGGGGGCAAACCACACAAAGGCCGUCCCAGUUCGGACUGUAGUCUGCAACCCGACUACACGAAGCUGGAAUCGCUAGUAAUCGCGAAUCAGAAUGUCGCGGUGAAUACGUUCCCGGGUCUUGUACACACCGCCCGUCACACCAUGGGAGUCGGAAAUGC
rnacentral:rRNA from 1 species